rnacentral:rRNA from 1 species
AAUGGGUGCAAGCCUGAACCAGCCAUCCCGCGUGAAGGACGACUGCCUAUGGGUUGUAAACUUCUUUUGUAUAGGGAUAACCUACCCUCGUGAGGGUAGCUGAAGGUACUAUACGAAUAAGCACCGGCUAACUCCGUGCCAGCGGCCGCGGUAAUACGGAGGGUGCAAGCGUUAUCCGGAUUUAUUGGGUUUAAAGGGUCCGUAGGCGGACUUAUAAGUCAGUGGUGAAAGCCUGUCGCUUAACGAUAGAACUGCCAUUGAUACUGUAACUAUAGCUGGAAUAAGUAGUGUAGCGGUGAAAUGCAUAGAUAUUACCUAGAACACCAAUUGCGAAGGCAGGUUACCAAGAUAUAACUGACGCUGAGGGACGAAAGCGUGGGGAGCGAACAGGAUU